GACGAACGCUGGCGGCGUGCUUAACACAUGCAAGUCGAACGGAAAGGCCCUGCUUUUGUGGGGUGCUCGAGUGGCGAACGGGUGAGUAACACGUGAGUAACCUGCCCUUGACUUUGGGAUAACUUCAGGAAACUGGGGCUAAUACCGGAUAGGAGCUCCUGCUGCAUGGUGGGGGUUGGAAAGUUUCGGCGGUUGGGGAUGGACUCGCGGCUUAUCAGCUUGUUGGUGGGGUAGUGGCUUACCAAGGCUUUGACGGGUAGCCGGCCUGGGAGGGUGACCGGCCACAUUGGGACUGCGGUACGGACCAGACUGCUACGGGAGGCAGCAGUGGGGAAUAUUGCACAAUGGGCGGAAGCCUGAUGCAGCAACGCCGCGUGCGUGAUGACGGCCUUCGGGUUGUAAACCGCUUUCGCCUGUGACGAAGCGUGAGUGACGGUAAUGGGUAAAGAAGCACCGGCUAACUACGUG
rnacentral:rRNA from 1 species